AUGAAUGCACCGUCGUAGAAUAAAAUUAUAGACAACAUAACACUUCCUGUAAUAAAAAAAAAAGACAUUUCGAAGCCGAAACAGAAGUCUAAAAUCACUGGAACACUUAAAAUAAGUAUAAAGAAUCAUGUUUGAUUGGGACUGGAGAGAGACAUUAGUUGACAUUUUAAAGUAUGCUGCAAAAAAUCCUUGGGACUUUGUGUUCUAUGUUCUGCUGUGUUUGUCUCCAUUGUUUUUAAUAAGUGCAAUUUUAGCCUACAAUCUUGCAAAGCAGAUAGAGGCAAAAGAAAAAGAACAAAAAAGGAAAGCUAGAAGAGAUAAAAAUAUUGCAAAGGCUAAAAAGAAAACUGAAAAGGCAGAUUGAGACUAACUGUUAUUUUAUCAGGGACAUUUUAUAUCAUUUCUUCAUUUUAUAUGGUACAUUUUGUAUGUAUAUUUAUAUUAUUAAUAAAUUAUCAUGAUUUUGUUCA